rnacentral:rRNA from 1 species
UGGGGAAUAUUGGACAAUGGGCGAAAGCCUGAUCCAGCCAUGCCGCGUGUGUGAAGAAGGUCUUCGGAUUGUAAAGCACUUUUAAGUUGGGAGGAAGGGCAGUUACCUAAUACGUGAUUGUUUUGACGUUACCGACAGAAUAAGCACCGGCUAACUCUGUGCCAGCAGCCGCGGUAAUACAGAGGGUGCAAGCGUUAAUCGGAAUUACUGGGCGUAAAGCGCGCGUAGGUGGUUAGUUAAGUUGGAUGUGAAAUCCCCGGGCUCAACCUGGGAACUGCAUUCAAAACUGACUGACUAGAGUAUGGUAGAGGGUGGUGGAAUUUCCUGUGUAGCGGUGAAAUGCGUAGAUAUAGGAAGGAACACCAGUGGCGAAGGCGACCACCUGGACUGAUACUGACACUGAGGUGCGAAAGCGUGGGGAGCAAACAGGAUUAGAUACCCCUGUAGUCCCUGAGCGGGCUGGCAAGGCGCAU